rnacentral:rRNA from 1 species
AUAGGUGAACCUGCGGAAGGAUCAU